CAGAGGCCUCACACCUGACUCAUGUUUUGAGGGGAAUUCACAACUUUUUCACCCCAAAUGUAGAAAUAAAAUAGAGAAUACAGGCAACAAGGGGCACAGAAUGACUGGUGCACAAGAUUAGGUGUGUGGGAACCAACAAAAACCGUGGAGCCAUAAUGAACCCACAUUGUGUCAAUAUCAUUAGACACCUGUAGAGAUUAUAUGACUUUGAUUUGGUCACCUGAUUCUUACAGUAGUCAAACCAUACUGUAUUCUAAGUGUAGCCUGCCAUUACUCGAAAAAAAAACAGACACCAUUUCACCAUCCAGUCUGUCUAUUGGUCGACUCCAUCAUUGCAGCCAGGGACCUCAAUGAUCGAAGAGAUGUAAUCACACAAGGUACUUUGGAUGCUGUCUAUGAUAAGAGUCUAACUCUGAUACGGGAGUCCCUACGGAGAGACCCCAGCGCGCCCACUAACGAGCUCAGAGUACAUCCUCUCUCACACAGAGAGAAGAGCAUGGAUACUGUGUCUGUGGAUCUCCUUUUCUGGUCAACCAGGAUAUGCGCUAAUGAAAAUGGAUGGAACUCAUGGACAGCAGGAGGAAGGUUUGGAGCCCCCGUCCUCCGGCAGAGGAGCCUAUAUGGCCAGGGUCAGAGCCCUGGGAAAUACAGAGAGAUGCUAUGACUGCAACACAGGAGCCACUAUUGAAAUACUGCAAUAGACUACAUUGGAACUGAGACUUGAAAAGUAUUAAUCACAACAUGUAUUGAUUGUACUGUCUCAAUGAAUCUAUAAUCCAGAAAACAAUUAAAGGACCAUCAACAUUU